rnacentral:rRNA from 1 species
AUUGAACGCUGGCGGCAUGCUUUACACAUGCAAGUCGGACGGCAGCACAGAGAAGCUUGCUUCUUGGGUGGCGAGUGGCGAACGGGUGAGUAACAUAUCGGAACGUACCGGGCAGUGGGGGAUAACUAAUCGAAAGAUUAGCUAAUACCGCAUAUUUUCUGAGGAAGAAAGCAGGGGACCAUUUGGCCUUGCGCUGUUUGAGCGGCCGAUAUCUGAUUAGCUAGUUGGUGGGGUAAAGGCCUACCAAGGCGACGAUCAGUAGCGGGUCUGAGAGGAUGAUCCGCCACACUGGGACUGAGACACGGCCCAGACUCCUACGGGAGGCAGCAGUGGGGAAUUUUGGACAAUGGGCGCAAGCCUGAUCCAGCCAUGCCGCGUGUCUGAAGAAGGCCUUCGGGUUGUAAAGGACUUUUGUCAGGGAAGAAAAGGGCGGGGUUAAU